rnacentral:tRNA from 1 species
GGCGCGGCCCAGGAAGAGGGCGCGUUCCCGCUCGUUCCGCGUGAGCGCCGCCGCACGUUCGAACUCGCGCCGCGCCUCC